rnacentral:tRNA from 1 species
GUCUAAGUAGUAUAANCCAAUACCUUGGUCUUGUAAACCAAAAACGAAGAACGAUCUUCCUAAGACA